GCAAAACACACUGAAGAGACUGCAGCCGGCGCGCACCUCCUUGUACCGCUUACGGUGACAUCAUCACAAGCAUGUAUGACAUCACAGGGUUCUAAACCAUCUUCAGGCACCAAAAGCCAGAAGCAGACCAGGACCGGAGGAUGGGACUCCGAUAUUGGCGGCACCAGGGGAGCAGUGAAAGCAUUGCAUUCCCUCAGGAAAGUGAACUCCUCUUAUUUUCCGGAAAUUGGAAAUAGAUGGAUUGAGUAGAAGAAUAGUGGCACAGGAGUGCUAGGGACAUUUUUUAUAAUAAUGGGCAUGUAUCCACCAUCAGCGGCAGAAGCCACCCAACAACUAUCAUCGGGAAGAGAAGAGUGCAUGUUCCCUUAAGAGGCCAGGAGUGGUUACUAGCAGUUCCUGUAGCUACAGAGGAAGAGGCAAUUCAGGAGAACCCCAGCAUUUGCAGCCUACAGGGAGAUGCUCCAGUCCGGGAGGAGCCUGGUCAGACUAAAGCACAAGUGGGAUCACUGCUGGGAGGAGUAUGCAGAACAGUCUGGACUGCCAGGAGUACAAGGGCACCUGUUGGAGGAUGGCCCUGACAGUCAAUGACUUACCUAGACACUCACCAUCACUAGUCAUAUAGCUCCAUUUAUUUCAUUCCAGCACAGCUUCAUCUAUGAGUUUUACUGCUCUUAUUUGUUCAAGUGAUCACCAGUCUAACUUUCACAAAUCACUCUUGGGCCUGGGUCAGAUGACUUCUUGCGAACCACAUCGUCACCAACCAGAUCCC